GGAGCCGGACCUCGUCCCUGACUUCAACUGAAGGAAGACUUCGUCUGAACUCCCACGAGGGCAGGACUCCGAGCUCCUCUCAGACGGGCAACUAGCCACCCCUCUCCGUCAAGCACUCCAGCCGGACUUCGGCCGACAGGCCUGGACUCUCUAGCAGGCCACAGCAAUGGCCACGACUCUGCUCCACUUCCUGCGACGGAUUUUGUGCGGCUCCAUCACUCCCUGAC
rnacentral:lncRNA from 1 species